AAACUUAGGUUAAAAAAACCUGCCAAAUUUCAAAUUUAGUAAUGAGUUUUACUCAGUUUUUAGGGCGGAUAAAAGCAAUUUAUAGUUCUUUUGGCAUCAUGAAAUUUCUAAAAUCGUUAGUAUAUAAAGGGUCUAAACGAAAAUCAUCUACCUUAUUGAUUAGACUAGUGUCAAAUAGUUGUUUAAAUUAGGUAAAACGGGAUAUCCGAUAUUUUUUGUGUUUAAUUGCGUUUCGUAAAUUUAUUUUACGGUCUUGUGUGAGCUUAAACCUGGAGAGGGAUUAGCUUUUUCAGAAAAAAAGUUUAAAAAUUUAAAGCUAGCAAAACGUAAUAGUUGAAGGUUUUACAGGAUUUAUUAAGUUGAACGCUUAAUAACGAGAAACAAAAAUGAAGUUUUAAGUAAAAAUCUAGUAAAUACACACUAUAAACUUAAAACUGUUUAUGCGUAAGUCAAUGGCUUCAUUAGGGAUUGUACUUGACUGGAUUCACACUGUUUGACAAAUACUUAGAGAACUAAUUCUUGCGACACUGCCCAGUGAUUAGGUUUAAACGGCUUGACAAGGUAGCAAAAUCAAUAGCCUUUUAAUUGAGGGCGAGAAUGAACGGUUUCGGUGAGUUCAGCAAUAAAACCUGAUAAACUUGAAAUAAAUUUUGGGUGAAAAUUCCCAAAAUUAACCCAGGGACGAGAAGACCCUAAAAUCUUAAAUGUGACCUUCGGGAAUUUAUUAAAUUGAAAAUUGGUUGGGGCAAUCUUAAAAAAUUAAACACUUACUUAUGAUUAAUAAAGAACUCAGGUACUCAAAACCAAGAUACUUUAGGGAUAACAGCAUUAAGGGCUAGAGAGUUCCUAUCUACUAGGCCCGAAUGACCUCGAUGUUGAAUUAAGAAAACCCUAAGGAGCACAAGAUUUAGGGUCUGGUCUGUUCGACCAUUGUUUCUUACAUGAUUUGAGUUAAAAUCGACGUGAGUCAGAUUGGUUUCUAUCUUGGGUUUUAUGGUUUUUUAUGUAGUACGAAAGGAAUUUAAAACAUUUGU
rnacentral:rRNA from 1 species